GGGCGGGGAGGGGGGGAACGCCUAAAAAACCGUCAAAACCGCACGUAACCGCCGGUUUUCGAGUCUUACACAUCCGCGACGCAUAAACGUAUAAUUAUAAAUAUAUUAUUGUUUCUCCGUUAUAACAAUCGAUAGAAAAAAAAAAAAAAAAAUCAAAAAAAUCCGAAUUAACGUUGUACACAAUACCGCGAUUAACGCCUGUACUAUAACAUUUAGCCGUGGUUUUUCGUUUUAGGGUUAUUAACAUCGUUUCGCGUUCAAACGGCACCGCUGACGGGCCAUAUUAUAAUUGUUCGUGUCCGAUUCACAAUAGGUGCGUAUUAUUAUAUUUCAAGCGCAAUUAUUAUUAUGGUAUUUUUAAAUGCGACCGAUCAUAUUGGGUCGCUGUACAUAGUUUAUUAUGUAUGUGCGAUUAACGUAAACCGUAUACUUUCCGUGUAAUUAUAUUAUGCGCCUACAUAGUGUACGAUUUUCGUGCGCCUAAUUACGUUGGUUGGGGAAAUCGAACUGAAACCCGAAUAAUGAAUAUAUACAGAGUUGAAAACAAAAAAAAUUUAAAAAAAAAAAAC